GGUAAAGUGAUCUAAUUAUAGGAUACAGGGUUCAUGCCCCUGCAGUGCUCAAUGCCUUUACUU
rnacentral:tRNA from 1 species